rnacentral:rRNA from 1 species
UGACCGGUGGCCCAAGUAGCAUAAUCAUUUGUCUUUUAAUUAAAGGCUUGUAUGAAUGGUUGGAUGAGAUAUAAUCUAUUUUUAUUUAAUUAAAAAUGAAUUUUAAUUUUUAGUAAAAAUGCUAAAAUAAAAAAUAUAGACGAGAAGACCCUAUAAAUCUUUAUUAUUUUUUUAUUAAUUUAUUAAUAGAAUAUUAAAUUUAUUAGUAUAAAAAUAAUUUUAUUGGGGUGAUAAUGAAAUUUAAUAAACUUUUAUUUUAUUUUAUAAAUAUAAUUAAUUUAAUGAUCCAUUUUUAAUGAUUAUAAAAUUAAGUUACUUUAGGGAUAACAGCGUAAUUAUUUUAAAGAGUUCAUAUCGAUAAAAUAGUUUGCGACCUCGAUGUUGAAUUAAGAGUAAGUUUAGGUGUAGAAGUUAA